UACGUAGGGUGCGAGCGUUAAUCGGAAUUACUGGGCGUAAAGUGUGCGCAGGCGGCCGAGCAAGUCGAGUGUGAAAGCCCCGAGCUUAACUUGGGAACUGCGCUCGAAACUACUUGGCUGGAGUGUGGCAGAGGAAGGUGGAAUUCCACGUGUAGCGGUGAAAUGCGUAGAGAUGUGGAGGAACACCGAUGGCGAAGGCAGCCUUCUGGGCCAACACUGACGCUCAGUGCACGAAAGCGUGGGGAGCAAACAGGA
rnacentral:rRNA from 1 species